AACGAACGCUGGCGGCGUGCCUAACACAUGCAAGUCGUGCGAGAAAGUUCCUUCGGGAGCGAGUAAAGCGGCGCACGGGUGAGUAACACGUAGGUAACCUGCCCCCCAGUCUGGAACAACUAGAGGAAACUCUAGCUAAUGCCGGAUGAGACCACGAUCCCUUCGGGGGUUGCGGCCAAAGAUGGCCUCUACUUGUAAGCUAUCGCUGAGGGAUGGGCCUGCGGGCCAUUAGCUUGUUGGUGAGGUAACGGCUCACCAAGGCUGUGAUGGCUAGCUGGUCUGAGAGGAUGACCAGCCACACUGGGACUGAGACACGGCCCAGACUCCUACGGGAGGCAGCAGUGGGGAAUAUUGCGCAAUGGGCGAAGCCUGACGCAGCGACGCCGCGUGGG
rnacentral:rRNA from 1 species